GUAAGGGAGGAGGUGGUAGUAAAGAAACCUUUAGACUGAAAAAUGUAAAGAUACAAUAUGAAAGGAGAAAAAAAACAACAAAAGAACCCACCAUGGAAGUUUCAACCCACCACCACCACAUGGUGCCAAAAACUUCAAAAUGGAACAUUUCUUAUAUUGGCACAUAUUUUUGUGAGAACAAACAUAUGGUUGUGAGCAUAUUCUUACCUUCAUUGUGAUCUGCAUAUUUCCUCUCUGCAGGAAAAUUUAAAUGCACUGUUGACAUCGUUUUAUAGUCACAUAAGAAGAAAGCAGGCAAAGAAAUGUUAUGAUUGGACUUAUUCAUGAGAUACCACAGUCUCUAAUAUAUGAAGUUUUUCAUAUUUACACUACUGGUGAAUCUCUAGUUGUAUACCUGCCUCUGUGGUCUCAUUGUUGGUCCCUAGGAUAGCUUAUAAAUAAAAACAGAUGAUACUGUCUACUGGCCAGAACAAGCUCACAACUCACUUUCUACUCCAUUCUCAAGUGACUAUGUAGAGAAAGAUGGAUGGUUGAGGUCAGGAUUUGGAGUUCUCUGGCUAACUGCAUAUUAACUUUGUUAUCAUCGCCAAUAUUAUCACCUGACAGAGAAACAGACUUGAUGGAUUUGGGCUUUAGCCCUGACUUCAUCACAAAUAAACAGUGUCAUCUUGGAUGCUAAAAAAAAAAAAAAA
rnacentral:lncRNA from 1 species